CUCCUGCAAUAUAAAGUAUAGGAGGUCCAGCCUGCCCAGUGACUACGGGUUCAACGGCCGCGGUAUAUUGACCGUGCAAAGGUAGCGCAAUCACUUGUCUCUUAAAUAGAGACCUGUAUGAAUGGCUAGACGAGGGCUUAACUGUCUCCCCCUUCCAGUCAGUGAAAUUGAUCUAUCCGUGCAGAAGCGGGUAUAAUUCUAC
rnacentral:rRNA from 1 species